UUUGAUUUAAGAGUCGAUCUAAAUUUUAGAUAGUUUACUUACUUUUUUAAUUUUAUUUUACUCGAUGAGAUCCACUAUUUCUAUUUUUUUUGUUUACUUUGCAUAAACCUUAUUAGUCGGAGAUGCCAUUAUAAUCAACAGAUUAACUUGGACGGGAUAUUCAAGCAUGAAGAGACUCAAUCUAGCAAAGGAGGAUGCCGACACCAUUUUCGAUUUUUUU
rnacentral:lncRNA from 1 species